CUCUAGCAGGCAGAAGAAGGUUUUGAGGGGAAGAAGCCGUGCGUUGGUGCAGUACCGCAGGUGCCACUCGUUAGGCCGCAGGUCCGGGCCGCUCCUGCGGAGCUGUGAGGGGAAGGCUCCCGCGGGCCGGGGCAGCGCCACCUUGGCUGAGGGCAGGACUUGUGUUCUCAGCUGGAAAACACACAUUCGCAGAGUUUUUCUGCACCAUGUUCCGUAGCACUCCAUCAGCUGAGUCUGUCCCACAGAGACAGAAUGUGUUCCUGUAAGCCCUCAAACGUGGCCCGAGCAGCAGAAUGGUGCCUCCACCCCGUAUGGAGCCGCAGGACUUCAGAGAGUUGUUGACACUGUCCUAUUGAAGAAGAUGGGAAAAAGAUGUCUGUGACAGAAAGAGCGAGCUGCUUUCAGAUCUGUCUUCAACAAGGAAAAGUUACUGGAUUGAAAUUUUUCAGUAUUCCAUAACAAUCCAGGAGCUCAUCGUACAUAAAAGUGUGUCCCUCAAAGAGCCAUGGAUGAACAAACUGUGAACAGGCAAAGGCUUCUUCAGAGCACCCAGCAGUCCUAUCCUUCCUCUGCCUGUGAGCACGGCUAGCUUUGCUGCUCUGCUGCCUCAGGGUCCGCCCGUGCCUCGGGGUCCUCCCGUGCCCCGGGGUCCUCCCGUGCCCCGGGAUCGGCCCGUGCCCCGGGGUCGGCCCGUGCCUCGGCUCCCCCAGCCUCUAAGAGGAGGGAACUUGCCCUUCCCACACCUGCUGCUUGCUCCUUUUCAGUAACCAGAAGUUCUGACUUUAUCUACAGACACAAAGCGCUUCUCUGUUGUUUCCUGUGCAGCUUCUGAAGGUUACACAUGAACACUGAGACAAAACCAUGCCAACGUUAAUGUAAGCACUGACUUGUUGAAGGCAAAUGGCUCCACAGCAUUGUUUGAGCUAUCAGAUGUUUGUCUGCAUGUUGCAAAAACUGCAGCUCCUGAGGUGCCACUCUGGGGAGCAGCUGAUGUGAAACACCUGAGCAAUGACCCUGCUGGGCUCAUCAUCCCUCUCAGCUGUGCCUGAGCAGCAAAGGAGCAGCACCUGCAGGACAGUGGGCACAGCCCAGCCAGCCCCAGGCAGCCCCAUUCCUGAGGAGACAAAGCACAAGGGAGAGGAGAAGGUGAAGCUCUGCUUUAGCUGCUGUCUUUGAAUGGAGGAGAGGAGUUGUGAGAACACCAUUUCACAGCGCUGCUUGGGCUGCCUCUAGCAGUCACUCCCAGUGAGGAAGAGGAAGGAGCAACCCCUGCUGUAAAUACAGGUGUUCUGGACUGGGACCUGGAAGAGCAGCUGCCAGCCUUGGGAAAACAAGGAAUUCACACUGCUAGUCUGCAGGCCCCUGUUGCAGUUACUGCUGAUGGGUAAUGAGACUGAAUUGAGGAAGAACUGUGAAAAUGUGAGCUCUUGCUUCCUUUGUUCCAGCACUAGGAAAAAGGCUUCUAGAAGAACGUGGAAGCAUCCAGGCAGGAUGACUUCUUCCUGUGGAACAUGGAGAGUGUUGAGGUGAGCACUAGAACUUAGCUGGCCUUUCCUCUCCUGUGCAAACUGAACACUUCCCUCCUCCUCCUGCCCCCUGCAGCUUCACAGAUCCGCUGUGGAACAGCCCAGGGCUCCUUCACCCCACCACCAGGAUCAAGAAAACCGAUUCCAUGGUUUCUUAAACUAUAAUUACAGGUAUCUACCACAAGCAGCAGAGCUUGAGGGGUGCCUAGUUUUCAGUUACAGCCUCAUCCAAAUCAGCAUGCAGCCAUGUCAGCCUCGUGCUGACAGAGGCUCUGUGAGGGGACCCCUGUCAGCUCCAGUGUUUUAAAUGCUCAAGAGCCAAAGGCUGACUCCAACCCAAGGGCAGAGCUGCUCCAAGAGGCAGAAUUCCUGCCCUUGUCAGAGGAGCUGUGCCCCAGCACUCCAGCUGUACAAAAGAUGCCCUGAGCCAGAGAGCGGUGCAGGUAGCUGGCCCCAAGCUGUGAGAACAGCUCUGUGUGUCCCUGCAGAAAGGCAGUGACUUGGAGUGUGACUGAGGUGUGUCACCUGGGCUGGGACAGGCUGGGAGGUGCAGGGACACUCAGCUAACGCUGCCCUUUAGCACUGCCUGUGUCCUUGUGUCCCCUCAGCUUUCUGAUGCACCUCACAUCUGCCUUCUGUUGUGUUGGGGUAUUAAGUGCAUUCAGAAUUUUGGAGAAGCCUUUAGAGGUUUUUAGCUGUGUACUAAAGAUGGUGACAAUCAGGCCAUACAUUCAGUCUUUUUUUGGGCUUUAGAGCAGCUGUUUUCCCACCUCAGUGCCAGUGACACUGCACAGUUUGGUGGAAAUCUGCUCUUCUGUAAAACUGCUGUACUCAAGAACUGUCUUCACUUGGAUGCUUCUAUCUCAGAUAUUCAGCAGGCUCUUCAAGGUCUCAUAUCCAGGAAAACCGAAGAAAUGAAACUUGGCAUAAAUGAAAGACUGAUAAAAUAUUCAUUGAGCGUUUAAGUUCAUUUCACUUACAGAGAUGUAGCUGCAAACUCUGCAGUGCACAGCAAGCGGUACAUAAAGAUUCACUAGCAAAACAAACAAACCAACCAACCCCAAACUAAAAGCUGUUUCAUUUUUGGCUAACUCCACUUCUGCUCUUUCAGCAUCUUCCAUGGAGAUUAAACAUCCCAGCCUCCAGAUUUUACAGGUCUGACUGGGGGAGUUAGGAGAGUAAUUCAUUAAGGGCUUUAGGAAAGACAUCCCUUUGCCAUUUUGUCACCUGUCCUGUGAGCAUUAGGACUUGGCUGCUGUUGCAAAAGGAACUGAGAAUUAUUCUGGCCACUGUGAUUCCACACUGGGGUGGAACACACAAGAUACAGAGCAGGUGAGAAUAUUAUUUAAGAAGAAACAACCCCACCCCAAAUCAGGCUGGCAGCUCUCAUGCUGAAAUCCACUCUCCCAUCUCAAGUGCUUUUAUUCCUCCUCUGCAGUAAGUCCUGAGAGCAAGCAGCAAACUCUUCACUGAAUACUGAAGCUGAAGGAAAUAGGUGGAAACUGAGAACUGAAUGUCAGAUACGGAGUCUUUUAGCAAUGUUUGAGGUCUAAACUUAAAAUUCUUCUUGAAACAAGGUCAGUUAUUAAAAAUUGGUUUUAAUUAAAACAUGGGGUUCAUUAAAUACAUUCCUAGAAGCAGAUUUCCUUUGGUACUGUAUACCCAGAGACAAAGACUGAAUUUUAUUUCUGUAUUUCUUAGACAGCUACAUCUGAAAGUAACUUAAGUUCUACAUUUUUGGGGAGAGCAGUGAGUAUGUGAGUAGUGCUGCAUUUCAGGUAAGGAGUCCUUGCUACAUUGUGCUUUUGAUUUGAAUCGUGCUUUUUUACUAGGCAUAGCUGUUUUAAAUCAUUUUAUGGUUCUCUCACUAAGGUUGCUAUAUAAAAUAGUCAUUUAAUCCCUUAAGAUUAAAGGUAGCAGAACAAUCCAAACAGGUGCUAGGAGUGAAAUCUCACCUGUUGAAGGCAUUGGAGUUCUUGCUGGGCCUUGGCCAGGAUUUUACCACCAGUUACUUGCCUGUUUUUUCCCUUUUUCCCCCAGUCAGAGUAGUGUUAAUUCCUUUCCAGUGGGGAGGGAGCUCCUGUGAUCAGCAGGACAGUGGCACCAGAAGAUGGUGACUCGGUCACGAGCCGUGGGUGCCCCUGCAGCUGCCAGGGAACACAGAACUGGCCCAGGUCCAAGCCCACGCCAGCUGGGAUGGGAAAUGAGCCAAAGGCAGCUUUGCCAUCGUGGUUCUUUGCUCUGGAAACUGUUCCCUCAGUGUCUGCUCAGCUCUGCUCUCCCUCAGGGAUACUGCAUAGAUCUCAUCCCCAGGGACGUGGCCGCAAGAAAUCUGCUUCACUGCUUGAGUGGCUUUUCAAGGAGCUGAGAUUUCCUACAAAUGUGGCCAUUCCAUUGGUUUCCUGUGUCUGUGUGUCCUUCAGUGACUGCAUUCCAGACCUCAGAGGGGUCUGGGGUUCGUUCUAUGUUUGUCCCAUUUGGAGGCAGGGAAAUUGAAUCUAAUGGACUAAAAACCAACCAUUACCAGAGUGUGCUUCAGGCUAAGCAGGAUUCAGAGAACUGAAACUGAGUUCUAUAAUUAGCCCAGGCCGGUGUCCAAGUUAAAUGAUAAACAAGUUACAUUAAGGGCUGUGAAACUGUUCCUGUGCAGCACCAUGAUGGAGCAGAUGCUCAGCCAGGCGGGUGCCUCAGUCCCUCCCCACUACUGCUGCUUCCACUUCCAGGGAGGAUUUUAAAAAAAGGAAUUUUUUUUUAAAAAACAGGCCCUUGAGAAAUGAGAACAGUGGCUUAAUAUAAAUCCUUUCCUUGCUGUUGAGGAAGAAAUUGAGUGUUUGUUGCAAUAAUCUUGUACAUACACUGAGGCUAAGAGCUGGGAGACACAUCCUGGUUUUGCUAAUUACAGGAGCAGUUAUUACUAGGAAAAGUUAGGUGUCCUUUAGCGUACAUUACCAGAAACACUUCCUGCUCCUUUCAAUUAGUUUUUCUCAGUAGAUGCAGUUUAGAAAGCAAUAGUAACCGAGCUCUCUGUAAGUGACUGACAGGAAAAUCUGUCCCUGGCUUUGCUUCCAAAGGCCUGGGUUUCUGUAUCCACACACCUACCACUGUGUGCUAGGCAAAAGGAAGAAAGGUGCAGUGGUACUUGAUAUAAUAAAAAACCCAGAGUGAAGCACUUCUGUCAACUCUCAGCAGACAAAAUCUUGUGUCAGCUCUUGGGGUUAAUGUCAGCUUUUAGAAAUCAGGCAGUUUAGCACAAUACUAGGGUAAGGCAUUUCAUGCAUGCUGUGAGGCCCUGUGAUGAACCUCCCCAUCCAUUCAAACAGGCUGAACCAAGAGCUCUCAGGAAGUGCCAAGGACAGACAGACCAGGAGAGGGGAUGUAGAGCAGGAGCUGUGCUCAGGGGCUCUGGCAGAGCAGCCACUGUGGAUCUGAAGGAAUGUGGGAUGCUGUUCCACCAAAGCCCACCCAGCAGUGAGAGCAGGACAGCAGCACUGGAGGCAGAGGAACAGAGCAGGUACCUGUGGUGACUCGAGUGGGCUCUCAGGGCAGCCCCUGUUCCCGUGUGAUUCCCAACUUGCUGCUUUUAGCCCUUUGUUCCCUCCAUCCAGUCCUGCUGGGGCCACAGCAAGGCUGCUGAGCCCAUCUCACUCCUCUUGCAGGGGGAAAGCACAGCCAGGAAAAGCUGAAAGGAGCUGAAAUGCUCCCAUCUCCUGCCCUGCCAAAGGGGCAGCUCCUCAGCAGCAGCUGAAGCCCUUGCAGUGUGGGGAAGGUGUGGGGCCGUUCCCUGGGGUGUGCAUAAUAUCCAGGGACUGGGACAGUGACAGCCAAAGGCCUGGGAACACAGACCCUCCCUUGUGUUUUUACAGCCUUGCCUCUGUGUUCACCUGGGCUUCAGCCUUCAAAGCUGGAACUCAUUCAUUGCAGUGUCCUGCUGGAACCUGUGAUGUAUCAGGCCUGGGAACUCAGGCAAGGAAACAGAUACUUCAGUCCAUCCCUGAAGAAUGGACACAUUAAAACACCUCCGUUUGCCACAGAAGCGGCCUGAUGUCAGUGUUUAAGGUAAAGUCUGGCUCUUGAGAUAGCAAGAGCUGAAGAUAAACAGACAUCUGCAGGUGCAGCAGAUGAAAACAGCCCUCAGUGCACAGGUGAGGCUGGGGUAACUGCUGGGGGGCACUUUGUGCCACUUAGCAAAUUCUGGGACUCCUGAGAGCUUCCUCUUCCAAACCCUUCCCUUACAAGGCCAAAAAGCGUUGUCUCACGUGCCAAGUACAAUAUAGAAGAAAAGAUGGUAACUCUGCAUAGCACAAACCAGAAUUGCCUGGCAAAACUCAUGGAGUGCAGUAUUAGUAGGUAAGAUAUGUCCAUUUCCUUUGCUGUGAUACAGUUCUCUCUAGCUAAAGCCACUGCUGGACAAAGAACAAGGUGGCAAGGUAAGGUGCAGUGCUUGUGAGGGCACAGCUAAUCCGCUAAGUGAAUGUAAUUACUGGCAAUCUGCAUACUGCAAAUUCACCCCGUUAUUUUGUGCCUGAAGAGGCACCAGUUUAAUUCACAGAAGUAAAUGUCCAUUUCCUAUUUAAUCACUCCUAGUGAAGACUCAGUGAAUUCUCCCCAUUUGGACUUCUGCAGAUUACAAGCAGCAGUACUCACUGUAUGCCAUGGGCCUGUUAAAUAGUGAGAAAGAAUUUUUAAUGAGUGAAAAUAACAGAAGUGCAGUGAAUGGAGAAGGUGAUGAUUGACAUCUCUUCCUCUCUCUGUACAGGACCCCUUCCAACCUCCAUAAUGGGGGCUGGACAGUGAGAAGGCAAACUACCAGAGCAUGGGGGCUGAAGUCCAAAAGCCACUGCAGGAGAGGAGAGCAGAGGGAAGAUCUGUCAUCUGGGAAGUGCACAAAGCAUCCCAGCUGCCCUGGGUCCUAAUUAACCUCCACUAAUGACAGAGCUGGGUGUGAACAGCAGUGCCAGGUGGAGCGUGCUGGCAGCCAGCAGCGCCUGCCCCAGUGCAGGCAGGAACCCACAGUGCUGCCCUUGUGCCAUGGCACCAUCCAGGGCUCAGCUGCACCACCAGCUCAGGCUCCUGCAGCUGCUCCAGCACAGCAUCAUCCACAACUGCUCUGCUUCAAGGAGACAGCUCUUCCUUUUACACAACUGCAAAUAUGUGACACUACAUCCUCUGCUCUUCAUCCCUCCCUCCCUUCCUCUCCAUUUCAGCUUCAAGAGAGGCUGGCUGGGUUAUUUUUUAUGAACCUUGUGGGAAGGAGUUUUCCUUGAAGGCAGUGCUCGUUCUCCUUUUGCUUCUGCAAGUGGAUUUGUCCUGUGGAAGUUGAUGGUGAUCUAUGGGAAUGUGGAGAUGUGUAAUUC